CAAAAGAUAAGCUAACUUUAAGCUAAUGGGUUCAUACCCCGUCUAUGUGACUUUAUACUCACUCUUUUUA
rnacentral:tRNA from 1 species